GACGAACGCUGGCGGCGUGCUUAACACAUGCAAGUCGAACGGAAAGGCCUCUUUCGGGGGGUACUCGAGUGGAGAACGGGUGAGUAACACGUGAGUAACCUGCCCUUGACUUUGGGAUAACUUCAGGAAACUGGGGCUAAUACGGGAUAGGAGCUCCCGCUGCAUGGUGGGGGUUGGAAAGGUUCGGCGGUUGGGGAUGGACUCGCGGCUUAUCAGCUUGUUGGGGGGGAAGUGGCUUACCAAGGCUUUGACGGGUAGCCGGCCUGAGAGGGUGGCCGGCCACAAUUGGACUGAGAAACGGCCCAGACUCCUACGGGAGGCAGCAGUGGGGAAUAUUGCACAAUGGGUGGAAGCCUGAUGCAACAACGCCGUGUGCGGGAUGACGGCCUUCGGGUUGUAAACCGCUUUCGCUCAUGACGAAGCUUUGUGUGACGGUAGUGGGUAAAGAAGCUCCGGCUAACUACGUG
rnacentral:rRNA from 1 species